rnacentral:rRNA from 1 species
AGAAUCAACGCUGGCGGCGUGCCUAACACAUGCAAGUCGCACGAGAAAGGGUAGCAAUACCUGAGUAAAGUGGCGCACGGGUGAGUAACACGUGAAUUAUCUACCUCCGAGUGGGGAAUAACUGAGAGAAUCUUAGCUAAUACCGCAUAACACUUACGAGUCAAAGCAGCAAUGCGCUUGGAGAGGAGUUCGCGGCCGAUUAGUUAGUUGGCGGGGUAAUGGCCCACCAAGACGAUGAUCGGUA